ACUCCUACGGGAGGCAGCAGUGGGGAAUAUUGCACAAUGGGCGCAAGCCUGAUGCAGCCAUGCCGCGUGUAUGAAGAAGGCCUUCGGGUUGUAAAGUACUUUCAGCAGUGAGGAAGGUGGGUAUGUUAAUAGCAUACUCAUUUGACGUUAGCUGCAGAAGAAGCACCGGCUAACUCCGUGCCAGCAGCCGCGGUAAUACGGAGGGUGCGAGCGUUAAUCGGAAUUACUGGGCGUAAAGCGCAUGCAGGUGGUUUGUUAAGUCAGAUGUGAAAGCCCGGGGCUCAACCUCGGAAUUGCAUUUGAAACUGGCAAACUAGAGUACUGUAGAGGGGGGUAGAAUUUCAGGUGUAGCGGUGAAAUGCGUAGAGAUCUGAAGGAAUACCGGUGGCGAAGGCGGCCCCCUGGACAGAUACUGACACUCAGAUGCGAAAGCGUGGGGAGCAAACAGGAUUAGAUACCCCGGUAGGCUCUG
rnacentral:rRNA from 1 species